AGUGGCGAACGGGUGAGUAAUACAUCGGAACAUGUCCUGUAGUGGGGGAUGGCCCGGCGAAAGCCGGAUUAAUACCGCAUACGAUCUGAGGAUGAAAGAGGGGGACCUUCGGGCCUCGCGCUAUAGGGUUGGCCGAUGGCUGAUUAGCUAGUUGGUGGGGUAAAGGCCUACCAAGGCGACGAUCAGUAGCUGGUCUGAGAGGACGACCAGCCACACUGGGACUGAGACACGGCCCAGACUCCUACGGGAGGCAGCAGUGGGGAAUUUUGGACAAUGGGCGAAAGCCUGAUCCAGCAAUGCCGCGUGUGUGAAGAAGGCCUUCGGGUUGUAAAGCACUUUUGUCCGGAAAGAAAUCCUUGGUUCUAAUAUAGCCGGGGGAUGACGGUACCGGAAGAAUAAGCACCGGCUAACUACGUGCCAGCAGCCGCGGUAAUACGUAGGGUGCAAGCGUUAAUCGGAAUUACUGGGCGUACAGCGUGCGCAGGCGGUUUGCUAAGACCGAUGUGAAAUCCCCGGGCUCAACCUGGGAACUGCAUUGGUGACUGGCAGGCUAGAGUAUGGCAGAGGGGGGUAGAAUUCCACGUGUAGCAGUGAAAUGCGUAGAGAUGUGGAGGAAUACCGAUGGCGAANGCAGCCCCCUGGGCCAAUACUGACGCUCAUGCACGAAAGCGUGGGGAGCAAACAGGAUUAGAUACCCCGGUAGUCCACGCCCUAAACGAUGUCAACUAGUUGUUGGGGAUUCAUUUCCUUAGUAACGUANCUAACGCGUGAAGUUGACCGCC
rnacentral:rRNA from 1 species